UGCUGUCAGCUGUUCUGAGUGCUAAAAGCAACUCAGAACAGCUGACAGCAGU
ensembl:miRNA Mir7243 microRNA 7243